CCCCGUAAGUUUGUGAGACACGUUCAGUGUCCCGCAAACUUACGGGGAUCUUUUCCGUCUGCAACGAGGAACCGCUCGUG
rfam:Rahnella aquatilis CIP 78.65 = ATCC 33071, complete genome.